rnacentral:misc_RNA from 1 species
UUAAGUUCAGCGGGUAUUCCUACCCGAUCCGAGGUCAAAACUUGUGUUCGGUCGGUGACCGAUGCGAACGCGCAAGGCAGGGACGUGCGGGCUUCGCGCCCGUAAGCGGUUACGGCACCUGCUACAGCACUCCCAUUUACCAAUUGAUGGCCGACGCAUUUGGGGUCCGGGAUGGUCCCGGGGCCCAAUACCAAGCCAGG